rnacentral:rRNA from 1 species
UUAAGUAGACCGCCUGGGGAGUACGGCCGCAAGGUUAAAACUCAAAUGAAUUGACGGGGGCCCGCACAAGCGGUGGAGCAUGUGGUUUAAUUCGAUGCAACGCGAAGAACCUUACCUGGUCUUGACAUCCACAGAAGAAUCCAGAGAUGGAUUUGUGCCUUCGGGAACUGUGAGACAGGUGCUGCAUGGCUGUCGUCAGCUCGUGUUGUGAAAUGUUGGGUUAAGUCCCGCAACGAGCGCAACCCUUAUCCUUUGUUGCCAGCGGUCCGGCCGGGAACUCAAAGGAGACUGCCAGUGAUAAACUGGAGGAAGGUGGGGAUGACGUCAAGUCAUCAUGGCCCUUACGACCAGGGCUACACACGUGCUACAAUGGCGCAUACAAAGAGAAGCGACCUCGCGAGAGCAAGCGGACCUCAUAAAGUGCGUCGUAGUC